AUUGAACGCUGGCGGCAGGCUUAACACAUGCAAGUCGAGCGAGCGGCGGACGGGUGAGUAAUGUCUGGGAAACUGCCUGAUAGAGGGGGAUAACUACUGGCAACGGUAGCUAAUACCGCAUAACAUCAGAUGUGCCCAGAUGGGAUUAGCUAGUAGGUGGGGUAAUGGCUCACCUAGACGACGAUCCCUAGCUGGUCUGAGAGGAUGACCAGCAACACUGGAACUGAGACACGUUCCAGACUCCUACGGGAGGCAGCAGUGGGGAAUAUUGCACAAUGGGCGCAAGCCUGAUGCAGCCAUGCCGCGUGUUUGAUGAAGGCCUUCGGGUUGUAAAGCACUUUUGGCAGGAAAGCGGUACCUGCAGAAUAAGCACCGGCUAACUACGUGCCAGCAGCCGCGGUAAUAC
rnacentral:rRNA from 1 species